UCUCGGUUCGUCUAGUGGUCAGGAUGCAGGCUUGUCAUAAUCUUCCCCUAUCCAAGAUAUAUUGUCCGCCUGAGACCGGGGUUCAAUUCCCCGACCGAGAG